rnacentral:sRNA from 12 species
UCUUUUCAGGCCUAGUAACCAAUGGUGAAAGCAGUAGAAUAGGAUAGAAGGAGAAUAUGACCUUCCGGAAAGGUAAAUAUAUGCACUGAUGCGUUUGGGCGGACGCUUCUUGCAUGGUGCAGGUUAAAGGUUAUCCUGCAUUUCAUGCCCAGUAACGCUAUGCUGCUAUUAAGAAAACCUGUACUGCAGUACGGUGCAUUUUUUGUUGUAAUGAACAGU